UAGAGUUUGACUCCUGGCUCAGGACGAACGCUGGCGGCGUGCUUAACACAUGCAAGUCGAGCGAACGUAGCAAUACGUUAGCGGCGGACGGGUGAGUAACGCGUGAGCAAUCUGCCUCUAUCAGCGGGAUAACACUUAGAAAUAGGUGCUAAUACCGCAUAAGACCACGAAGUCGCAUGACUUUGGGGUAAAAGCUCCGGCGGAUAGAGAUGAGCUCGCGUCCUAUUAGCUAGUUGUGGGGUAACGGCCUACCAAGGCGACGAUAGGUAGCCGACCUGAGAGGGUGAUCGGCCACAUUGGAACUGAGAAACGGUCCAAACUCCUACGGGAGGCAGCAGUGGGGAAUAUUGGGCAAUGGGCGCAAGCCUGACCCAGCAACGCCGCGUGAAGGAUGAAGGUUUUCGGAUUGUAAACUUCUGCCGCGAGGGACGAAGAAUGACGGUACCUCGUAAGAAAGCCCCGGCUAACUACGUG
rnacentral:rRNA from 1 species